GGACCGGUAGCUUAACCUGGUAGAGCACCUGGCUUUUAACCAGGGGAUUGCGGGUUCAAAAGUUUUGAGCUGUGGCUCAUGACUGAACGUCCCGUCCGGUCCG
rnacentral:tRNA from 2 species